CAGCCGCCGCGGUAAUACGAAGGGGGCUAGCGUUGUUCGGAUUUACUGGGCGUAAAGGGUGCGUAGGCGGACUGAUAAGUCAGGGGUGAAAUCCCAAGGCUCAACCUUGGAACUGCCUUUGAUACUGUUAGUCUUGAGUUCGAGAGAGGUGAGUGGAACUGCGAGUGUAGAGGUGAAAUUCGUAGAUAUUCGCAAGAACACCAGUGGCGAAGGCGGCUCACUGGCUCGAAACUGACGCUGAGGCACGAAAGCGUGGGGAGCAAACAGGAUUAGAUACCCGAGUAGUCCCUGUCUCUUAUAC
rnacentral:rRNA from 1 species